GGGGCUGUGGCUCAGUGGUAGAGCACCUGCUUGUCAUGCAGAAGGUCCCAGGUUCAAGCCCCGGCGUCUCCA